GGAUAUGUGGCAUGUAGCAGGGCUCACUAUCAGAUGAGCGCUUGCAGAGCGUAGAUCUGGAUUCCAGCCUCCUGGGAUUCUACUCGCCCCCUUCCGUACAACUCUGAGAGCUCAUUUCCGAGAGCUCAAGACAGUCAACAGAAUCAAAGCACAGAGAUGUCACUGAAGCGUUGCAAGGCACCGUACCUGGAGUUCAUCCUGAGUUCUCAGGCGUUAAUAUCAGCACUGAGCUUGUCAGAAUUCAGGUCUUCAUAGAUGUUGACGAGGUGGUGGGCUGGUGAGUAGAAGAAUUCUUAAGCAGCUUCUAGGAGUGUUGUUCUAGGCCAUCUCCUGGGCAGGAUGGGGAGAGCAAUCCGUCUUUGGUGGUGGAGUGCCAUGGAGUCAGCUUGCUUCUGAGAUGCUCACAGGGAAUCCAGCAGGUGGCUGUAGAGCCAAGUCAGAUGGAGCCUCCUGUUACUAGGAAGCCACGAUGUCCUAGUUGAGUCCUGGGUCCUGUUGGCUGCUUGUUGAUUCAUCCAGUCGCAGGCACCACUUUGUGAGCACUGUUGGGGUCCCAGUGCUACAGCAGCAAACGGGUGCCCCUGUCGUUCAAAGCAUGGGUCCAUGGCCAAGGGAGACGACAGCCAUGGACCCUGAGAGCUGGAGACAGAGAUAGUAAUUGUAAGGAUGACCUGGAGAAAAACGUGAGAGGACCAGGCCAAAAGGGGGGAAGCCGUGUAUUCUUAAAGGAAAGACAGCCCUGUCAGGAAAAUAAAGCCAGAUCAAAGCCCCAAGGCAUGCUUGGUGUGUUAGAGAAACUGGACAGGAGUGAUGGGGACAAGGGCAGGGGUCCACAAGCAGCUGUGAUGAGGACUUGACUUGGGUGCCAAGUAGCGUGGAAAGCAUCAGUCCCUUUGAGCUAGUGUGGUGAGCAAUAACGAGCUCAAGGGCCUCCUCUGACAGCCACGUGGCCGGAGGCAUGGAGCAUGCCAGGGGGACAUUGCAGCUGGCUUUGAUGUCUGUGACUUGGCCCUAGAGGUAGCAGGACAAGUGGUCCAGUGUGGGUCACAAGGUGAGAAGUCCAAGGCAGCCUGAGAGGAGGGAGAGAGAAGCGUGCUGGCCGCUGGCCGUGAAGAAGAGGCGGGGGAGGCACAUUUGAGAAUGGUCACCGUAUUGCUAACGUGAGAGCCCCGAGAGAUGACAGAGUGGAGCAGAUUGAAGUGGGCAUAAGAAUAGGAGCGGGGAGCCCAGGACUGAAAGGCACAGCCAUCUCUGUGUGUGGUGAUUGGCAUGGACCAGGGCACUGUGUGAAAGCAGGCGCUGAGCAGUCUCAGUAGUGUUGAAUUCAG
rnacentral:lncRNA from 1 species